rnacentral:rRNA from 1 species
GACGAACGCUGGCGGCGUGCCUAAUACAUGCAAGUCGAAUGCAGUGGGGACGGGUGAGUUACACGUGGGUAACCUCCCAUCAGAGGGGAUAACACUUGGAAACCGGUGCUAAACAGAGACAGACGGAUGGACCCCCGGUGCAUUAGCAAGUUGGUGAGGUAACGGCUCACCACGGCCACGAUGCAUACCCGACCUUAAAGGGGGAUCGGCCAAACAGAAACUGCGACAGGGCCCGGGCGCCUACGGGAGGCAGCAGUAGGGAAGCGUCGGCAAUGGACGAAAGGCUGACCGAGGAACGCCGCGUGAGUGAAGAAGGUUUUCGGAGCGUAAAACUCUGUUGUUAGAGAAGCGGUAUCUAACCAGAAAGCCACGGCUAACUUCGUGCCAGCAGCCGCGGGAAUAC